rnacentral:lncRNA from 1 species
UUCGAGUGACCUUAGACCUGCUGGUAGAGCCCAACCCCCAGCAGUUGCUCGGCAGGUUUGCUCGUUUGCGCUCUUCUUGGAGCCGCGGCAGCUCAGGGGCUGCCUGCGGGACCGUCAGAAUCUGCCGCCUUCACAGACGCGUCUUCAGCCACAGGGAGCAGUUCUCCACGCUUUUGCUGGAAAACCCCCCCAAGUACAAACUCAGCGCAAACCUCGUGAGCUCCAGAAGCUGACUCAUCUCUCAAACUUUCCUACUUACACUAAUUUUUCCUUCGUUUUCUUUUGAGCAAUACGUAUCUUUCUCUUUUUCUGAGUUUUUAUGAUUUUGUCCUGGGUUUGUUUGUGCUUAUUGUCUAAUUAGGAUUUCGCUACACCGUAGUGUUAGGGUCGUGCUAUUCUCAAACAUCUCUUUUUCAGACGAACUUUUUUUUUUGCCACUUCUGAAUCUGGGAGUUAGUAUUCUUUAAAUAUGAGGUAAUUUUUCUGAAUUUCAUUUGAUGACUACAAUACCAUAUGGAUUAUAUUUCCAAUAAUCAGAGCUAGUUAUUUAUUUUGAGUAACAGCAUUCAUUGAGUUUUGAUGAUAAACAUUUUGAUUAUUAGUAUAAAUACUAUUUUGUACAGUGGGAAUGGGACAUACCGUGUUCAAUUGCUGAUGGGCCUGUCAUCCCAGGAGACUUUAAGCAAUUACAGUGACCUCCGACAACCGCGUGUGCAUUGGCAUGCAAACGUCUCCAAGAGCCAUUGAGCCAAAACACUGCCAGAGGCUCCGUGUGACACCAGCCAAGCCCUGUUACUUGGGGGUCGUGAGUGUGACAUGCACCCACGGGAGAGGCAAGCACCCACCUGAGGACCAAGGGUGGGGCUGGGGGGCUGCCGCAGGCCCUGGCGUUUUCCUCGAUGCUUCCUCAUCCUGGGUGCUUUAUAAGAUGUGCUCUACGCUCACCCUCUCCACGAUCAACAAGACACAGGCGUGUUCCGGUCCCCGUGUGUGGUCACGUCAGCCAGCGUGCACGUCGGAGUUGGUGCAGCCUGGGGCUCUGGUUUUCUCUCUGGAAGGAAAGGCCACAGAGAACCAUCCGAAUCGUUUUCAGGAACAGUUGGGUUACUUGCAGCUGCGCCUGUCAUGAGAGUCUGGGCUCAUGAAUUUUAUUGUGCUGAGUCCCGCUAGAGAAGGACUUUACAAACCUGUAUUUUUCUUACCUCAUAAUAAAAGCACCAGGAAGUGAGCA